UUGACAACGCGUUUGUUUUUUCAUCCCUGUUCUGAAGCCUGAAAGUGCGUGGUUGAGUUGCUACCAGAUUGAUUUCUUUCUGUGGUUACCAUGGACGCGGACAUCUACAUACAAACAAUAGUGUGGGCGGGGCGCAAUUCGGCCCCCAGCAGUGAUGGUAGAGACUGCUAACGGCUACCAGCCAGGGCCUAACCCAAGCCUCUUGUGCCCUGCAGUCAUCACGGCUUUAGAAGAAAACCGAUUCUCUGGAAUGUGGUGCGUGCACAUGCCUGCCCUACCAGCAGGUCCCACCUGCCGAGCAGCAUCUCUGUGAGGAAUAGACGAAGCCAGAUUCCGAGCCUUACUUGGGGCUUGCACACAGUGAACAAACCAACUGAUUGGUCCAUUUUUGACACUGUUGCUAUAAAACAGCGGCCCAUGUGACCCAGCUCCAGAAUGCUAUGCCAUUCUGAAAACCAUGGAAAAGGACCUGACUUGGAUGAAGCCUUCAGUGCUGGGGCUGUAGCUCCGAUGGUGGAAUGCUUGCCUGGUACAACUCGUGACGACCCAAAGCCUGGCCCGAAGCGACGGCUGCUCGAUAGCCCUUUGGCCCAGGGGUCAGGAAGCCGACCCAGCAGGUUCCCCAGGGACACAAGGCCUGUUCCUGUGAGAUCCAUUGGGGCAGGAGUGACUGUUACCAGUCCAUCCAAGGAGGCAUGAAUCAGCUCUGCUACGUCUCCGGUCUCUCUUGCGUAUGAACUGCCUGCAACCUCCUUGCUCCAAUUCUACAGAGAACACCAACGUUCAGCUUCCGAAUAGACACAGUGGCUCCCCCCCCCCCAGGCUCUUAGCUGUGGUUCUGUGACCUUUGGUGGCUUUUCUCAGUAUAUCUCUGCAGACUCCCUGGUUUGUCCCUCUCCACUACACUCCAGGGAUGGUCAUCCUUCUGCUUAGAACACCCUCCCCAUCCAAUCCUAUUUCCAUUCUGAGAGUGUCUCUGCUCUCCGGCUCCUGCUCUGGGACUCCCAGCCUCUAAGCAGUAUGUGGUAGGCCUGGCCUGGGGUCCAUCCUGGCCAUAGGUGCUAUGCUUGACCACAGCAACCCUCUGGCCUGGGUUUUCUUAGUCAGCCUCUAUGGUUGUCCCCAGGUUGUGGGCGUUGACCAAGCCUGAUUGGCAUGUGAAGAGGGCACCGUUUAGAGACAAGAAAAGACUCACCCCGUGUCGUUUAGCUCAUACAAGGGUGAGCUCACCUUCUAAUCAGGUGCUCUCUGUUUGUUCCAGAAUUAAACAGGCCAGGCCCGGCAAUCCAAAGGUUCCCUGCAGUGCAACUCCAAGCAGACCUGAGGCCGCCUCUGAGGGGCUGUGCUCUCCUAGAGAGCAGCCCUUUGUUCCACGUGGGGAUGCCGUUAUUACUUUUACGAUAUUCAAAGACACACACGUAAGGCUGCCUUCUGAAAAAGUGUCGCAAUGACUGGAAAAGUUUGCACGCAAUGCACUUCCCUGCUUCCCAUUCAAAAUUCACAGUCAGGACCAGUUUUCUGGGAGAGAGGACAGUCUGAGGACGGUCUUCCACAGGCAGACGUGUAAAGAGAGGCCUUAAUGUCA